AAAGAAUUAGUUAAAAAUAACGUAAAUAUGUCACAUUUAAAUUACUGAUUUAUUCAGUAUUCUUUU
rnacentral:tRNA from 1 species